rnacentral:rRNA from 1 species
UAACUGCGAGUGAAGCAGGGAAAAGCUCAAAUUUAAAAUCUGGCAGCUUUGCUGUCCGAGUUGUAAUCUGGAGAAGCAUUUUCCGUGCUGGACCGUGUACAAGUCUCUUGGAAUAGAGCGUCAUAGAGGGUGAGAAUCCCGUCCAUGACACGGACUACCAGUGCUUUGUGAUAUGCUCUCAAAGAGUCGAGUUGUUUGGGAAUGCAGCUCAAAAUGGGUGGUAAGUUCCAUCUAAAGCUAAAUAUUGGCGAGGAGACCGAUAGCGAACAAGUACCGUGAGGGAAAGAUGAAAAGCACUUUGAGAAAGAGAGUUAAACAGUACGUGAAAUUGUUGAAAGGGAAACGCUUGAAGUCAGUCGCGUUGUCUGGGACUCAGCCUUGCUAUUGCUUGGUGUACUUCCUAGUUAACGGGUCAACAUCAGUUUUGGUUGGUGGACAAAGGUUGGGGGAAUGUGGCAUCUUCGGAUGUGUUAUAACCCUCUUCUGUAUACACUGGCUGGGAUUGAGGUCUGCAGCACGCCUUUAUGGCCGGGGUUCGCCCA